rnacentral:lncRNA from 1 species
UCAGCCAAUUAAAUUACUCUUGAUAUUUAGAAUAAUUAUUCUCUAAAACUAAGUAAAAUAUGUAUAUAUGUGCAUACCUUCUAAUUUAGCAGCAGUAGCACCCUGCAAAUUACUAGAGCAGCCCUCAGAGUCAAGGGUACUUUCAGCUUCAAUUUUCAUACGCUCAUAUUCCCUCAUCCUAGCCAAAGCUUGAUCUAAGUGAAUCACUGUGUUGCCAAGGUCAUCAGUGGCAAAGGGUUCAAAAUGUGAAGAUGUAGACAUAGUACUCCCGUUGUCCGCAUCAUUUUGUUCGCAGUCCUGACAUGCUUCUGUAGGGAAGUUCUUGUCAAAAGUUUCAUCAUCUGUAGAAGCAAGACUUUCACUGGGAGUGAGUUCAGAGUUUGAUGCUAUCCAUGUUGCGGUAUUUAGUGAUUUUAUACAUCUCCCCUUCUCGUUGUUCUCAGAUAAAUGUCUGGUCACUAUAUCCUGUAAAGCAUAUAGGGCCCUUUGUCUUAGGUAAUCUGUGUUUAACAGCUGCAGCUCAUGGAAAAGUUCAAUAAGAAAGUGGGGCCGAGACUCAUUUUGAGAAA